GCUCAGUUGGUAGAGUUCUUGCCUAGUAUGUAUGGAGCCCUGGGUUUAAUGUCUGCACCACGCAAAUUAGGCAUAGAGGUAAUGCCCGUGAGCCCAGCUGUUGAUGAGUGGAGGGCUACAUCACCAGUGUUACCUGUGGAAGAUUGAGAGCUUGGAUAAGAACAGUGCAAAUGAACAAAGGCAUGGAAAACAGCAACCAAGAUACUAUGCAACCAUCAACAUGGCAUGUUGGUAGAUUCAAGGUGUCCUGAAGCCACAAACAACUACCAGCAAAUCACCCCAGUCACCGGAUGAAAGUGAAGUAGCCUAAACCGAGUGAAACAGACACUAGUCACCAAGACAAAUGCGUGCCAAGGGCAAAUGAACUUCCCUGCAGGUCAGCAGCUCCAUCUUCGUAUGCACCUCACAUGAUACAGUGACACCCAAUAACAUCGUCAGAGAUGCUUCACACUGACUCAGCUCCUCAGAGGACCAAGAUGCUGAGAUGGUAUAAGCACAACCCCAGUGUUGACCCAGGAGGAUGGCUAGUAAGAUGCUAAGCUUGCAGGAAACCCGAGUUCCAGGGCUUCAUCUUCCAUUCACUGGGUAAACUCGCUCAGAGAACAGCACUAGACCUCUCCCACGUAGUAUGAAAAAUGAGAAAUAAUCCCUACUGCCUAUAUUCACUUAGAAUAAUUCAAAUAAAAGCUGUUUAAUCUUGGGAGCACAGUACAGGUA